rnacentral:rRNA from 1 species
CCUACGGGAGGCAGCAGUGAGGAAUAUUGGUCAAUGGGCGGAAGCCUGAACCAGCCAAGUAGCGUGCAGGAUGACGGCCCUACGGGUUGUAAACUGCUUUUAUACGGGAAUAACGCGCCUUACGUGUAGGGCUUUGCAUGUACCGUAUGAAUAAGGACCGGCUAAUUCCGUGCCAGCAGCCGCGGUAAUACGGAGGGUCCGUGCGUUAUCCGGAUUUAUGGGGUUUAAGGGGAGCGUAGGCCGCAUGUCAAGCGUGCUGUGAAAUGUCCGGGCUCAACCCGUGCCUUGCAGCGCGAACUGGCGUGCUUGAGUCCGCGGAAGGCAGGCGGAAUUCGUGGUGUAGCGGUGAAAUGCUUAGAUAUGACGAAGAACCCCGAUUGCGAAGGCAGCUUGCUGCAGCGGAACUGACGCUGAUGCUCGAAAGCGCGGGUAUCGAACAGGAUUAGAUACCCCAGUAGUC